CCUUCGAUAGCUCAAUUAGUAGAGCGGGGGACUGUAGAUUUAUAAUUGUGAUCCCUAGGUCGCUGGUUCGAAUCCGGCUCGAAGUA
rnacentral:tRNA from 1 species